rnacentral:misc_RNA from 1 species
GAAGUGCGAUAAGUAAUGUGAAUUGCAGAAUUCAGUGAAUCAUCGAAUCUUUGAACGCACAUUGCGCCCCCUGGUAUUCCGGGGGGCAUGCCUGUUCGAGCGUCAUUUCACCACUCAAGCCUCGCUUGGUAUUGGGCGACGCGGUCCGCCGCGCGCCUCAAAUCGACCGGCUGGGUCUUUCGUCCCCUCAGCGUUGUGGAAACUAUUCGCUAAAGGGUGCCGCGGGAGGCCACGCCGUAAAACAACCCCAUUUCUAAGGUUGACCUCGGAUCAGGUAGGGAUACCCGCUGAACUUAAGC